rnacentral:lncRNA from 1 species
AUGGCAACCCUUCCAGUUCCCCUUCCACUGUGUGGAAGCUUUACUUUCACUUUUGCUUUACUUUGGCUUUAAUAAAUCUUGACCCAGCACUCUCUUUAGGUCUGCAUGCUUCUCAAAUUGAGCUGUAACACUCACUGCUGCGGUCCAAGCCUUCAUUCUUUGAAGCCCGUGGAACCACAAACUCUUCAAUUGAUAAAAACCUUCGAUCGGAAGAGACUUCUCAUCUCAUUUCUGGGGGCCUGUCCGGGAUUUCUCUGAAGUGAAUAGAAUCCAUGAAACUGCAAGUGGUUCUACAAAUGGAGCCCCAAAUGACCACCACUAGCACCUACUAUCGAGGACCCCUAGACUGACCUACCAACCUGUUCUAACACCACGACACUGAAGAAGACUCCCCUCCUGAGGAACCCUCAACUGCAGAUCCCCUUCUGUGCCCCAGUUCAGCAGGAAGUAGCUAGAAUGAUCAUUGCCCAACUUCUCAACAGCACUUGGGCUUUCCUGUUGAGAGGGGGUACUGAGGCACUAAGUGGCUAAGUUAGCUAGACUUCCUGGGUCAACAGGGACUUCCCUAAGGGGACAUUCCUCUAAGCCAAAAUGAGUCAUAGCUGCAAGCUAAGGGAUUGAAACUUCAACCAAUCAAAGGGGACUUUCUCCUAAGCAAAAAUGAGUCACUGCUGCAAACUAAGUGAUUGAAACUUCACCCAAUCAUAUAGGGAGUUUAAGCUUUAGCUGCAGCCUGAUGUUUUUAACCAAUCAGGCCUGCCAACCCACAAGCAGAUAGAAAAUAAGCUAAUCCUAUGGGACAGAAAAAGGAAAAGGGGAGGAGUCAUAAGAGGAUAUAAGCAUAAGACACCCAAGCCAGAAACGGAAACCCUUCCGGGUCUCCUUCCACCACGUGGAAGCUUUACUUUUGCUUUUACUUUACUUUCACUUUAAUAAACCUUGGCGCUGCACACUCUUUGGGUCUGUACGUUUCUCUAAUUGAGCUGUAACACUCGCCGCUGUGGUCCACGGCUUCAUUCCUUGAAGCCUGUGAGACCACGAACCCUUCAAUUGAGAAAAACCUUCAAUCAGAAGAAGACUUCUUGUCUCAAUAUCACUUCCUUCGAAAACAUAAUUCAAGAGUUAUUCAC